UUGACGUUAAUGUGGAUAUUAUUGUUGAUGUUUUUAUUGGUAUUGUGGUCUUCCUCUACCCCUCUAAGCAUAAACAACACUUGAUUCACCCCUCUUCUUGUUGGGGUAUCCACUAAACAUCUUCUUACCAGCCCCACUUGCAGAACUACCAGCAUUAGCUAACUGAAUUUUCCUCAUUUUGAGACCAGAUUCAAUCCUCUCUCCAUCCAUUCCCAAUUCGGAAAAACCAGUAGAAGU
rnacentral:lncRNA from 1 species